GUCCUGGCCGUAAACGAUGGGUACUAGGUGUAGGAGGUAUCGACCCCUUCUGUGCCGGAGUUAACGCAAUAAGUACCCCGCCUGGGGAGUACGUCCGCAAGGAUGAAACUCAAAGGAAUUGACGGGGCCCGCACAAGCGGUGGAGUAUGUGGUUUAAUUCGACGCAACGCGAAGAACCUUACCAAGGCUUGACAUUGAAUGACCGCUUCAGAGAUGAAGCUUUCCCUUCGGGGACAUGAAAACAGGUGGUGCAUGGCUGUCGU
rnacentral:rRNA from 1 species